AUACGGAGGGUGCAAGCGUUACUCGGAAUCACUGGGCGUUAAGCGCGCGCAGGCGGCUAUUUAAGUUGGAUGUGAAAGCCUACGGCUCUACCGUAGAACUGCAUCCAAAACUAUUUAGCUAGAGUGUGGGAGAGGAAGAUGGAAUUAGUUGUGUAGGGGUAAAAUCCGUAGAGAUAAUUAGGAAUACCAAAAGCGAAGGCAAUCUUCUGGAACACUACUGAUGCUGAGGCGCGAAAGCGUGGGGAGCAAACAGGAUUAGAAACCCCAGUAGUCC
rnacentral:rRNA from 1 species